GGGAAAAAACAACAUUACAGCCAUCUUUUGCCCACCACUAGCAUGUUUAGUGGACCAUACAGUUCACUGAUAGAGGCAAAAAAGGUGCAAAAAAAUAAAUAUUUAUGCCAAACUAGAAAGAAUGCACUUCAAGAAAAAAUACAUGAAUGCGCUUCAAGCAUACAAAACCCAAAAACACAACCCAACAACAAAAUUCCCAAGAGAAGACACUUGUGGACAAAACAAAACAAAAAAUUUAAUUGUUUAAAGUAUUGUAUUAUUGUUUAAACAUUUUUAAAGUAACUGGUUUAUUAUGUUUGCUGGAACACUAGGAUUUAUAGCAACUUAGCAUCCUAUAAAAUGCAGCUUUGUUUACUUGCCAGUCUUCCUGGAUCACCAUCAAGACACCUUCAAACUCUGGUUGUGUAACUGCUAAAUACCAUACAUCCAUUUUCAAAAUACUGAUAGGAAACCAUAUAAAAACCAAUUUAUCAUAAUGCUCGGAUCUGCAGGGAAAGCUAAAAGUACUUCAUUGCAUUGUCUGAAUUCCAAAGGCAAAGCAUGUAAGCCUUUUCUCUCGGUCAUCAUCUGAUUGACCUGAUAAUGUUUGUUUUGCACUUUCUCAUCAUGUUUGUGUAACUGUUUAUAAAACCAACAGGGAAAGCUAAAAGUACUUUACUGCAUUAUCUGAAUUCCAAAAGCAAAGCAUCCAAGCUUUUUAUCAGUCAUCAUCGGAUCGAUCAUUGUUUGCUGUUUUUACUUUUUUAAUUUCUGACAGAAUUGUUCUCAGUACAUGAGAUGUAGAGCUCAAUCAUACACAUGCCACAUUUUGUUCCCAUUGCUAUCCUCA
rnacentral:lncRNA from 1 species